rnacentral:lncRNA from 1 species
UACCAAAUGAACCCUCAUGGACUUCAGUCAUCAACAGGUCUGCUUCGUGUCUAUCCACGCAUCUGAGCAGAACCAUGUCAAAAUUCCUCUUGUAAAGCACAUACAUUGGAAUGAGUACCAAAUGAACCCUCAUGGACUUCAGUCAUCAACAGGUCUGCUUCGUGUCUAUCCACGCAUCUGAGCAGAACCAUGUCAAAAUUCCUCUUGUAAAGCACAUCACCAUUAAGGUAUAAACUACCAGAUAAUCUCCUCAAAGUCUUCUUAUCUUUAACAGAUGCCCCAGGCGGGUAAGUCUGACUUUAGAGAAAACACUUGAUAUCAU